GAUGAACGCUAGCGGCAGGCUUAACACAUGCAAGUCGAGGGGCAGCACGAUGUAGCAAUACAUGGGUGGCGACCGGCGCACGGGUGCGUAACACGUAUGGAACUUGCCCUUUACUGGGGGAUAGCCCGGAGAAAUCCGGAUUAAUACCCCAUAACAAGCGGAGUGGCAUCACUCUGCUUUGAAAGCUCCGGCGGUAAAGGAUGGCCAUGCGCCCGAUUAGCUAGUGGUGAGGUAACGGCUCACCAAGGCUAUGAUCGGUAGGGGGCCUGAGAGGGUUAUCCCCCACCACUGGUACUGAGACACGGACCAGACUCCUACGGGAGGCAGCAGUGAGGAAUAUUGCGCAA
rnacentral:rRNA from 1 species